rnacentral:sRNA from 1 species
CCUGACUGCUCACUGCAGAUACCUCUGUGCCUGCCCCUCCCAGCCUUCCCAUCCCUGCCCUUGGCCCCUGCAGGCUCCUGCUUCUGAACCAGUUCCAUGAUGUGGUGACUGGAAGCUGCAUCCAGAUGGUGGCAGAGGAAGCCAUGUGCCACUAUGAAGACAUCCGUUCCCAUGGCAAUACACUGCUCAGCGCCGCAGCCGCAGCCCUGUGUGCUGGGGAGCCAGGUCCUGAGGGCCUCCUCAUCGUCAACACGCUGCCCUGGAAGCGGACCGAAGUGAUGGCCCUGCCCAAACCAGGCGGGGCCCACAGCCUAGGUAUGAGCUGAGGGGAAGGGUUGCUACUGCAGCAGGAAGGAUGGAGGCCAGACAGAUCAGGCCUGGGAUACCCCUAGGGAUCUGGGUGCCCUUGAAUGGAGAGUAGUAGCACAUCUUCCACCACCCCAUCCCCACCUGCGCAAGCUUCCUGAAAGGUCAGGAAGGCUGCACUGAUGCCCAGGCCUCACCCCCAGCCCUGGUGACAGUGCCCAGCAUGGGCUAUGCUCCUGUUCCUCCCCCGACCUCGCUGCAGCCCCUGCUGCCCCAGCAGCCUGUGUUCGUAGUGCAAGAGGUGAGUCCUGCAUGUCCUGGGGGGCAGGAGCUGUGCUGGGAUACUUUCUAACAACUGAGGGUCCUGAGCACCCCUGCCUGGAGCAAGUGGUGAGGCGGGGCUGGGGUUGGGGUGGGAAGACUUUUGGUGUGGGAAGCCCCUACAGACUCAGCCUCAAGGCCUCCUCCCACAAAGACUGACGGCUCCGUGACUCUGGACAAUGGCAUCAUCC